rnacentral:rRNA from 1 species
UACGUAGGUGGCAAGCGUUGUCCGGAAUUAUUGGGCGUAAAGCGCGCGCAGGCGGUCCUUUAAGUCUGAUGUGAAAGCCCACGGCUCAACCGUGGAGGGUCAUUGGAAACUGGGGGACUUGAGUACAGAAGAGAAGAGUGGAAUUCCACGUGUAGCGGUGAAAUGAGUAGAGAUGUGGAGGAACACCAGUGGCGAAGGCGACUCUUUGGUCUGUAACUGACGCUGAGGCGCGAAAGCGUGGGGAGCAAACAGG